AGAGUUUGAUCCUGGCUCAGGACGAACGCUGGCGGCGCGCCUAACACAUGCAAGUCGAACGGAGCUGUUUUCUCUGAAGUUUUCGGAUGGAAGAGAGUUCAGCUUAGUGGCGAACGGGUGAGUAACACGUGAGCAACCUGCCUUUCAGUGGGGGACAACAUUUGGAAACGAAUGCUAAUACCGCAUAAGACCACAGUGUCGCAUGGCACAGGGGUCAAAGGAUUUAUCCGCUGAAAGAUGGGCUCGCGUCCGAUUAGCUAGAUGGUGAGGUAACGGCCCACCAUGGCGACGAUCGGUAGCCGGACUGAGAGGUUGAACGGCCACAUUGGGACUGAGACACGGCCCAGACUCCUACGGGAGGCAGCAGUGGGGAAUAUUGCACAAUGGGGGAAACCCUGAUGCAGCGACGCCGCGUGGAGGAAGAAGGUCUUCGGAUUGUAAACUCCUGUCCCAGGGGACGAUAAUGACGGUACCCUGGGAGGAAGCACCGGCUAACUACGUGCCAGCAGCCGCGGUAAAACGUAGGGUGCAAGCGUUGUCCGGAAUUACUGGGUGUAAAGGGAGCGCAGGCGGAUUGGCAAGUUGGGAGUGAAAUCUAUGGGCUCAACCCAUAAAUUGCUUUCAAAACUGUCAGUCUUGAGUGGUGUAGAGGUAGGCGGAAUUCCCGGUGUAGCGGUGGAAUGCGUAGAUAUCGGGAGGAACACCAGUGGCGAAGGCGGCCUACUGGGCACUAACUGACGCUGAGGCUCGAAAGCAUGGGUAGCAAACAGGAUUAGAUACCCUGGUAGUCCAUGCCGUAAACGAUGAUUACUAGGUGUGGGAGGAUUGACCCCUUCCGUGCCGCAGUUAACACAAUAAGU
rnacentral:rRNA from 1 species